CCUUUGUACACACCGCCCGUCGCUACUACCGAUUGAAUGGAUUAGUGAGCUUCAGGGAUUGGCUUUGGGGAGCCGGCAACGGCACUCUAUUGCUGAGAAGCUGAUCAAACUUGGUCAUUUAGAGG
rnacentral:rRNA from 1 species